rnacentral:antisense_RNA from 1 species
UGUGGGAGCGGGCUUGCUCGCGAAGGCGUUGUGUCAGUCGAUAUUAAAAUUGACUGACACACCACCUUCGCGAGCAAGCCCGCUCCCACA